rnacentral:rRNA from 1 species
UACGGAGGGGGCUAGCGUUGUUCGGAAUUACUGGGCGUAAAGCGCACGUAGGCGGAUCGAUCAGUCAGGGGUGAAAUCCCAGAGCUCAACUCUGGAACUGCCUUUGAUACUGUCGAUCUAGAGUAUGGAAGAGGUGAGUGGAAUUCCGAGUGUAGAGGUGAAAUUCGUAGAUAUUCGGAGGAACACCAGUGGCGAAGGCGGCUCACUGGCCCGAUACUGACGCUGAGGUGCGAAAGCGUGGGGAGCAAACAGG